rnacentral:lncRNA from 1 species
UUUUUUGAAGGGUAAGAUCGCAUUCUACCAAAUCACACAACACUUUUUUCUAUGAACCUAACCUAACAUAAUUAGAUUCAAAGAUGAUUUUAUCGAUUUUAUUUCCAUUUUGGAAGAAGUAAAUAAAGAAAACAUUGAUUAUGCUGAAAAAGUUUACUGGAGAGCUUGAACAAGAGGUAAAUCCAUUUUAAAUUAGUGGAAAACUGUUGAUUUGUAUGUAAAAUAGAAGACAAGCUAGCUAAUGAAACAGAUGCAGUGUUACAGAUAUGACAAACACCUAGAAGAUGGAAUCCUGCGUUCUUAAAUUAAAAAGCUAGUUCCAGAAGUAAGCUACCAAUAAUAAACUAGAGAAUGUAUUACAAGAAAGAACAACGCUAAUACUUAACAUAGCUCAAUUGCUUCAGGUAUAAAAAGAGGAGGAAAGGGUAGAACACAAGCGUGCCAGAGAAAAUGAAAGGGCAGAAGAGAGACACAAAAAUUCAUUGAUUUAUUAAAUUUAAUAAUUAAAUUAUACAAAGGACAAUUAAAUAAAGAAU